AGCCACGGGGAGCCUCCUUGGCCUCAAUGGCGGUCUCCUCGUGGCUCCAACUAAAUGCUUUCUGCCAUCUUGAAAGAGGAUGCGUUGCAGCGCAUGCAGCAGGCAUACAAUCGAUACCAAGCGCUGGCGCGAUUAGCGAAAUGUUACAACAGCAUGGGCUGCGGCUACCAUGCGGACACGCGGUUUGAUGAGUUGUUGCAAAAGCG
rnacentral:misc_RNA from 1 species